rnacentral:rRNA from 1 species
GACGAACGCUGGCGGCGUGCUUAACACAUGCAAGUCGAACGGAAAGGCCCUGCUUGCAGGGUACUCGAGUGGCGAACGGGUGAGUAACACGUGGGUGAUCUGCCCUGCACUUCGGGAUAAGCCUGGGAAACUGGGUCUAAUACCGGAUAGGACCAUCGUUUAGUGUCGGUGGUGGAAAGUUUUUCGGUGCAGGAUGAGCUCGCGGCCUAUCAGCUUGUUGGUGGGGUAAUGGCCUACCAAGGCGUCGACGGGUAGCCGGCCUGAGAGGGUGGACGGCCACAUUGGGACUGAGGCACGGCCGAGACUCCUACGGGAGGCAGCAGUGGGGAAUAUUGCACAAUGGGCGCAAGCCUGAUGCAGCGACGCCGCGUGGGGGAUGAAGGCCUUCGGGUUGUAAACUCCUUUCAACCAUGACGAAGCUUUUUGUGACGGUAGUGGUAGAAGAAGCACCGGCUAACUACGUGCCAGCCGCCGCCGUAA